AUUGAACGCUGGCGGCAGGCCUAACACAUGCAAGUCGAACGAGUGGCGGACGGGUGAGUAAUGUCUGGGAAACUGCCUGAUGGAGGGGGAUAACUACUGGAAACGGUAGCUAAUACCGCAUACCAUCGGAUGUGCCCAGAUGGGAUUAGCUAGGAGGUGGGGUAACGGCCAACCUAGGCGACGAUCCCUAGCUGGUCUGAGAGGAUGACCGGCCAGACUGGAACUGAGACACGGGCCAUACUCCUACGGGAGGCAGCAGUUGGGAAUAUUGCACAAUGGGCGCAAGCCUGAUGCAGCCAUGCCGCGUGUAUGAAGAAGGCCUUCGGGUUGUAAAGUACUUUCAGCGGGGAGGCGUUACCCGCAGAAGAAGCACCGGCUAACUCCGUGCCAGCAGCCGCGGUAAUAC
rnacentral:rRNA from 1 species